rnacentral:rRNA from 1 species
AGUUUGAUCCUGGCUCAGAACGAACGCUGGCGGCAGGCCUAACACAUGCAAGUCGAGCGCAGUCCUUCGGGACCGAGCGGCGGACGGGUUAGUAACGCGUGGGAACAUACCCUUUGGUACGGAAUAGCCUCGGGAAACUGAGAGUAAUACCGUAUAAGCCCUUCGGGGGAAAGAUUUAUCGCCAAAGGAUUGGCCCGCGUAAGAUUAGAUAGUUGGUGGGGUAAUGGCCUACCAAGUCUACGAUCUUUAGCUGGUUUUAGAGGAUGAUCAGCAACACUGGGACUGAGACACGGCCCAGACUCCUACGGGAGGCAGCAGUGGGGAAUCUUGGACAAUGGGCGCAAGCCUGAUCCAGCCAUGCCGCGUGUGUGAUGAAGGCCUUAGGGUCGUAAAGCACUUUCGCCAGAGAUGAUAAUGACAGUAUCUGGUAAAGAAACCCCGGCUAACUCCGUGCCAGCAGCCGCGGUAAUACGGAGGGGGUUAGCGUUGUUCGGAAUUACUGGGCGUAAAGCGUACGCAGGCCGCCAUUUAAGUCAGAUGUGAAAGCCCCGGGCUCAACCUGGGAACUGCAUUUGAAACUGGAUGGCUAGAGUGUGACAGAGGGUGGUAGAAUUUCAGGUGUAGCGGUGAAAUGCGUAGAGAUCUGAAGGAAUACCAAUGGCGAAGGCAACCACCUGGGUCAACACUGACGCUCAUGUACGAAAGCGUGGGUAGCAAACAGGAUUAGAUACCCUGGUAGUCCACGCCGUAAACGAUGUCUACUAGCAGUUCGCCCCUUAAGGGGUGUCUUGCGCAGCUAACGCAUUAAGUAGACCGCCUGGGGAGUACGGCCGCAAGGUUAAAACUCAAAUGAAUUGACGGGGGCCCGCACAAGCGGUGGAGCAUGUGGUUUAAUUCGAUGCAACGCGAAGAACCUUACCAUCCCUUGACAUACUCGUCGUAGCUCCAGAGAUGGAGCGUUCAGUUCGGCUGGACGAGAUACAGGUGCUGCAUGGCUGUCGUCAGCUCGUG